rnacentral:rRNA from 1 species
GGCGGCAGGGCUAACACAUGCAAGUCGAGCGGCAGCGGGGGGAAGCUUGCUUCCCCGCCGGCGAGCGGCGGACGGGUGAGUAAUGUCUGGGGAUCUGCCUGAUGGAGGGGGAUAACUACUGGAAACGGUAGCUAAUACCGCAUAACGUCGCAAGACCAAAGUGGGGGACCUUCGGGCCUCACGCCAUCGGAUGAACCCAGAUGGGAUUAGCUAGUAGGUGAGGUAACGGCUCACCUAGGCGACGAUCCCUAGCUGGUCUGAGAGGAUGACCAGCCACACUGGAACUGAGACACGGUCCAGACUCCUACGGGAGGCAGCAGUGGGGAAUAUUGCACAAUGGGGGAAACCCUGAUGCAGCCAUGCCGCGUGUGUGAAGAAGGCCUUCGGGUUGUAAAGCACUUUCAGCGGGGAGGAAGGGGACAAGGUUAAUAACCUUGUUCAUUGACGUUACCCGCAGAAGAAGCACCGGCUAACUCCGUGCCAGCAGCCGCGGUAAUACGGAGGGUGCAAGCGUUAAUCGGAAUGACUGGGCGUAAAGCGCACGCAGGCGGUCUGUUAAGUUGGAUGUGAAAUCCCCGGGCUUAACCUGGGAACUGCAUUCAAAACUGACAGGCUAGAGUCUCGUAGAGGGGGGUAGAAUUCCAGGUGUAGCGGUGAAAUGCGUAGAGAUCUGGAGGAAUACCGGUGGCGAAGGCGGCCCCCUGGACGAAGACUGACGCUCAGGUGCGAAAGCGUGGGGAGCAAACAGGAUUAGAUACCCUGGUAGUCCACGCUGUAAACGAUGUCGAUUUGGAGGUUGUGCCCUUGAGGCGUGGCUUCCGGAGCUAACGCGUUAAAUCGACCGCCUGGGGAGUACGGCCGCAAGGUUAAAACUCAAAUGAAUUGACGGGGGCCCGCACAAGCGGUGGAGCAUGUGGUUUAAUUCGAUGCAACGCGAAGAACCUUACCUACUCUUGACAUCCAGCGAACCCUGUAGAGAUGCGGGGGUGCCUUCGGGAACGCUGAGACAGGUGCUGCAUGGCUGUCGUCAGCUCGUGUUGUGAAAUGUUGGGUUAAGUCCCGCAACGAGCGCAACCCUUAUCCUCUGUUGCCAGCACUUCGGGUGGGAACUCAGGGGAGACUGCCGGUGAUAAACCGGAGGAAGGUGGGGAUGACGUCAAGUCAUCAUGGCCCUUACGAGUAGGGCUACACACGUGCUACAAUGGCGCAUACAAAGAGAAGCGACCUCGCGAGAGCAAGCGGACCUCAUAAAGUGCGUCGUAGUCCGGAUUGGAGUCUGCAACUCGACUCCAUGAAGUCGGAAUCGCUAGUAAUCGUAGAUCAGAAUGCUACGGUGAAUACGUUCCCGGGCCUUGUACCCACCGCCCGUCACACCAUGGGAGUGGGUUGCAAAAGAAGUAGACAGCUUAACCU